rfam:Astyanax mexicanus chromosome 3, whole genome shotgun sequence.
GGCUCCAUAGCACUGGUCUUGUAAACCAGGGUUCGCGAAUUCAAUUCACGCUGGGGCCU